ensembl:lncRNA
AGGUAGCAAGGUAAAACACAGGCAGUGAUGCCGCUGAUCCAGGGUUAGCAUUAAGGAGCAGCAUCUCUUCUAAACAAACUGGGUCACGUACUGGUGAGAGUGAGGGUGAACUGAUUCCAACUCAGUUUGUGGCAGUGUGAUGUCAACAGAAUGGCAUGUGGUCAGAGGUUGUGGUGAACUGGAUAGCUGUGCUGCAGGCUGCCUGCAGAGCAGAGAUGUAGAGGUAAUAGAAAACACUUGGAAAAGGGCUGUGAACCAGUCAGAGGGAGAGAAAGAGAGGAAGGAGCAGGAGAGGAGACAAGAAAGACUUGUUUUGGUGACCUUUAGAGAUUAGCUGGAUGAAGAUUUAUAAUGGAACUCAAGCUGUGGAUAGAGAUAGUAGACAAAAAUACACUGUGCAUUCUCAGGCCGAGGGAGAUUUUGCUGUGCUGGGUAUUGGGGUCCAUACAUACUACAAUGUAUCCUAUAGUCUAGGCUCUAUGUAGGAUACUAAGGUGUUGUAAUGGAAAGAUAAUAUCAGAAAUACUGUUAGAAAUAUUGUUGUAUUGUAUGGAAAAUGAUGCCUUCUCCUCUAUGUUUUCCAUCAGGACCUGAGUCUGAGCUCCAACCCAGAGCUGUGCGGUCGAGUGCCUGUCAGGACCACAGUACUCUUCAUGACAGACUGGAUGUAGUGGAGAAGCGUGUAGAGGACACAGUCCAGAAGCUGGAGGAUGAGCUGGCUGUGCUCCUGGACGCCAUAGAGGCCCCUGAGUGGAGCCCCCUGCUGGAAACUGCUGGAAAACCUGUGGUGGACAUCCUGGAUGGCCAGGGACUGGGAGAAGGUGGCGACUCCUGAGAGAGGAGAGCAGAGAUCUCUGUUGAGGGGCUAUGCUACUUCACUCUGCCCUGAUGAGAGUGCACCUGGCAAGGACAGACAAUGAAAGAUACUUGAAUGUACAAUCUUUGUCUUUCUGGACUUGAAAGUGUACACAAACUGUAUAAAACAAGCCCUUUGAUGAGUAAACAUAGGCUUAGUAUGUAUUCUGUGCAACAGUUGAUAGAUCACGACACUAAUGCUUACUUGACUGCAUAAUACACUCCUCUAAUCCUCAGACACUCUCAUCCUUUCUUCUUAGACUAAACCAGAAUCCCUACACACAAGGGUAACUGUCUCAGCCUCUCAGGAUGGCUACAGUUCUAAACAAUUGAUACGUUGGUUUUUUAUCUAGUAAUGUAUUCUGUUCUGUGUGGAAUUGUGUCCCUUUCUCGUCCCAUGCCUCUGUUCCACCCCCUGGUGCCAGUUGAGAGCUACACAUGCAGCACCGAACCACAAGGUAGGCCGUGCCCUUUACCACAGAUCAAGAAUCAGGUUACACAACCCCUAUCCUAAACCAUUAGGGAGGCUUGAAAUAACACCCAACCUUGUAUCAGUGGUUAAGGGCAACUAAUAAUCUCAAUGUGAAUGAAUGAUGAAAACCACUAGAGAAGGAAGGAUUUUAUUUAUCAAAGCAGCUAAAGCAACAUGUUUCAAUACACAGAGCAGUUUGAAUAGGUACAGUACAUGGCUUCCACUGAGACCCAGGCUAGUUGCAUUUUUAUUUAUUUUAGUCCCCAUAAAAAUCUUACAGAACAUGUUCAAAAUCAAAACACAAAGAGAAGAGUGGUCAUAGAUUUAGUUCUCAAAAAUGGACACCACAAUACUAAAAUGUUGCUACAAAGAUAAGACAGUAAUAUUAUCUGUGAGAGCUUUAAUCCUUAACCAGUUGAUGGGAAAAGUACUGUGGUAAUUGGUCACUCGUUCUAUCACAAUGCUGUUUGAAACACCCAGGUAAAUAUACUUACAAUUUUAUCCAAUAAACUAGCAUUGUAAACACAAUGUUACAAACAUAUUAAAGAUUUUUUUGGGGGGGGGGGUUUAGGCAAGCAACAUCCAACCAGGAAUGGAGAUGCAUUUGAAAUGAUAUCAAGGGAAUGACAUUAGGCUACAAUAUUGUUGAACUUAGAAAUAAACUACAGAGCAGGGCUUCCAUUAAAAUCAAUGACUAUUCAUUACAAGCAAUCAACACAAUUCCAUGGCCAUUUCUAGCACUGGAGACAUUCAGUCAAGCUUUUUAGUGAGGACAAUGUAAAGACAUGUCGAAGAGCAGUAUUUAAGACUUUUCACAUAGCUAAGGGCAGACUCACACAAUGCCCCAAACCCUUGGCCCGUUCCCAUAUACAGAACAAAGCACAGAAAACCUAAACUUACCCACAUUGGAGCAUUGGAGGGCAUAGAUACUGACUUAUUCAAUCAUCCACUUAAAGAAAAGCCUGUGCACUUGAACAUAUUCUUAAGACAAUCUACGGGAUGCCAAAAGUCACUGCAUACCAUCUAAAAUAUCAUGGCAUCCAUAUAACACUGGGAAUAAAUUAUUUGUACAGUCGUAGGUCUUAAAAUCAGUUUUUAAAAAGCAAACCUAGACAUCACAUAGACAGGCAAGCAGGACAGGGCUACACUGAUUAUAUGAGGCCUCUCCUCUGUCAAUCAUCAGAACACAGGUGAACAUCAAGGAAUUCUACUGCCUGAAGCUUACAUGUGCACAUACUGUAAGCCACACAAACCCUAGCGGUUGGCUCUCCUACAAGAUCUGCUUUAAAACUGUAAAUAGAGGUACAUGCAAAAAGGCAGGGUUCGA